rnacentral:lncRNA from 1 species
CAUUUUCUAACAAGUGACAUUCUGUUGCUCUUCUCUUUCAAUUAACAUCCUCUAGAUUUAAUUUAUUGAGUCUCUUUAUUACAGCAAGCAAUUGAUUACAAGGAAGACGUACACUACAGACCAUCGCUAUGACUGCCUGCAGGCUGGGUGCAGUUCACCUUUACCGUCAGACAGCACGUUUCCUACAGCAGUGGGACUGACUGAAGCGCACCACGAUCCCGAUCCUGCUCACACUAAGGUGCUGAGGGCUUAGCAGCUGGGUGCAGUGACAGCAAAAACAGAUCCCAAUUACUCAAACGAUGCACUUGUGAAUGCAACACUUCGAUGACAAUUUCAGACUGAGACAUGAGAUUUUCUGUGGCAUGUAGUGGGUAUGCUGGGGCAGAGGAUGCUGUGGGGACACUGCUGGAUAAGACAUAAGGGACAUCUCUUCUCUCUGCAUCGAGGCCUCUGCCGCACUGCCUGAACCCCUGCUUGUUUUGGCCAGUCUCAGAUUAUUGGCAUACAGAGCUGGCCAUGGGUCUCCAGGAUCUCGGCUGCAAAGCAGCCGGUAAUGUCACAUCUUCAGGAGGUGCCUGUUGUCACCGCUCUGCAGAGGGCACUGAUAAAAGGCAUGGGAUCACUGCUCUUGCUCUUUCCUGUAAGCUCAAGUGUGUGAAAACCCUUGUGAAAACGAAAUACAAUAAAAGAAGAGGGCUUGUAAAAACAUCACGUAAAUGAUUUCCCUGCUUUUAUCUCUAGGCGGGCGUGUGUCAGUGUAAAAGAGUGGAUUAGGCAGGCUUGCUUCCGUCUGGGCUGGAGACACACGUAUGCAUAAUUGAUUCCUGACAUCUUCUUCUCCCCCAUGCUGUCCCCACGAGGCCACCCCUGUCCAGCUAUGUAUGAAUGAACAGAAGUGUCUUUCAUCCCCCACUUGCUUCCCGGUUCAAAAGGAACUACAAAAAUAGCAGCAACAAAAAUCCAGCAGCCUGCCAAAAGGCCUGCACACGUCCCAUUCUUAAAGGCAUGUGAAAGGUUGGAGAGCUCAGCAAAAUUUUUAUGUACGGGAGCAGGCCCAAGGAAAACUCACACGCCAUAACCAAUUGUGGACAGAGGAUCAUCUAUCAGCAGACAAAUGCAGGAACUCCAGAAUGUCUCUCCUCAAAUGAAAUAAUAUAUCUUUGAAAGCCAAUGCCCGUUUUAGGCCUGAGGCCCAUAUAUCAAGCCUGAGAGGCUUGUGGAUACGCUCCAGGGCCAUUAACCUUCC